GGACGAACGCUGGCGGCGUGCCUACUACAUGCAAGUUGAGCGAUGAAGAUUGUUGCUUGCACCAAUUUUAAGAGCAGCGAACGGGUGAGUAACGCGUGUGGAAUCUGCCUUUGCGCGUGGGACAACAUUUGGAAACGAAUGCUAAUACCGCAUAACAACUUUAAACAUAAGUUUUAAGUUUGAAAGAUGCAAUUGCAUCACUCAAAGAUGAUCCCGCGUUGUAUUAGCUAGUUGGUGAGGUAAAGGCUCACCAAGGCGAUGAUACAUAGCCGACCUGAGAGGGUGAUCGGACACAUUGGGACUGAGACACGGACCAAACUACUACGGGAGGAAGCAGUAGGGAAUCUUCGGCAAUGGACGAAAGUAUGACCGAGCAACGCCGCGUGAGUGAAGAAGGGUGUCGGAUCGUAAAACUAUGUUGGUAGAGAAGAACGGUGGUGAGAGUGGAAAGCUCAUCAAGUGACGGUAACUACCCAGAAAGGGACGGCUAACUACGUG
rnacentral:rRNA from 1 species